UUCUUUGUUCCACUCCGAUCGGCUUCGACGAUACGGAGACGGGAAGCUGGAAGGCGGAUUGCCGGAUCCAGCGGCGAUCCGUUGCUUACUGCCUUGCAAGAAGAAACCCUCGCCAGAUCAUUCGGCGAGAGGAGCAACCAACCCUAGGACGACUGUUUUCACCCGCCCGAUCUCGAUGGCCUCUUAGCCCUCGCGCCGACGGAGGAGAAACUUGCGCUUGAGUUAGGCGAAUAUGGUGGCGUCUUCUAGAUAAAGGAUAGCAGGGAGGAAGAUUAUGUUUUAUGUCAUAAAGAUCACAUGGUGUCAUGUGGAACUCAUACAGCCAUUGCGCUUCCAUUGCGGCGUUCUGUCUCCAUACCCAACAUGCCUCGCUGGAGGAAGAGUAUGUUUUAUGUCAUAAUGAUCACAUGGUGUCUUGUGGAACUCAUACAGCCAUUGCGCUUCCAUUGCGGCGUUCUGUCUCCAUACCCAACAUGCCUCGCUGUUAUUCCAACGCAAACGAAGACGAUGAAGAAACCUGCUGCGCGUGCUGCCUUGGCUCCAAUGCUUCCUUCCUCCCUGAUCUGUACGAUCCUCCCUCAAGUAGCAUUUUUCCUUCCUGAACGGGUCCACUAAAUGACAAGAAAAUGAGCUGCAGUCUCUCUGGUUGUCAUCUGUUGAAGUCGAACUAUAUUUUCAUUGAAAUUUUCAUUCUUCUCUCAACCGUCACCACGGCAUGUAGUCUUAUAUUCUGAAAGAAAUUAGAUCCACUGUGUUAGUGCUAAAACCUGUGUUUCUUUCGGCUAACUCACAACUUAUGUAGGACGAAAUCUUGGUAAAAAGUUAUUCCUUUAGUUGUUUUUUUUUUUUUUCAAAAGUAUCCUUUUUUUCAUAUUUCUCAAUCAAUCUCUUUUUAUCAUAUUCUUCAAAGUACCAUUGACAAAACACAAUAGCAAAUCUCAUUCCUUUUGGUGGAUUGGUUCAUAAGGCUCGAUCCAUUUCCUGAGUUACAAUAUUUUGUAAAACAUUACAAGCAUAUUUAAAAAUAUU